AUGGUGCCGACGGGGCUGUUCGGGUGGGCGUCGCCGCACGUGCAGCCGCUCACGCCCGUGUCCGAGGUCUCCGAGCCGCCGGAGUCGCCGUCGCCGUACGGGGACGGACCGGCGGGGGAUGCGGGCGUGGGGGCGAGGGAGGGGGAAGGCACCGGCGCCGGCGAGGAGGAGGUGGAGGAAGACGAGGUCGAGCCGCCGCCCGCGGCCGUGUCAUUCUGGAGGCUUUUCGAGUUCGCCGAUGGGGUCGACUGGGCACUCAUGGCUGCUGGGGCGCUCGCUGCUGCCGCGCAUGGUGCGGCGCUCGUUGUGUACCUGCACUACUUCGGGAGGGCCCUUAAUUUGCUCGACUCUGAGCGGGUUGAGUCAGCUCUCCAUGGACGCAGCGAUGAGCUGCUCCACCGAUUUAAGGAGCAUGCCUUGUAUAUCGUCUAUAUAGCUGCUGGUGUUUUCAUCGCAGGAUGGAUAGAGGUAUCAUGCUGGAUUCUCACUGGGGAACGGCAGACUGCUGUCAUCAGAUCAAAAUACGUUCAGGUUUUGCUAAACCAAGACAUGAGCUUCUUUGAUACAUAUGGUAACAACGGUGAUAUAGUCAGUCAAGUGCUCAGUGAUGUAUUGCUCAUUCAGUCAGCUAUAAGCGAGAAAGUUGGGAACUACAUACACAAUAUGGCUACAUUUGUUGGUGGUCUCAUUGUUGGCCUUCUCAAUUGUUGGCAAAUAGCACUUCUAACUCUUGCCACUGGACCCUUGAUUGUUGCAGCAGGAGGAAUAUCUAACAUAUUCCUUCAUAGGCUGGCUGAAAACAUUCAAGAUGCAUACGCCGAAGCGGCUAGCAUUGCUGAACAGGCUGUCUCAUACAUCAGGACACUGUAUGCUUUUACAAAUGAAACUCUUGCGAAGUACUCCUAUGCUACCUCACUUCAAGCCACACUGAGAUAUGGAAUUUUGAUAAGCCUUGUCCAAGGAAUUGGCCUUGGAUUUACGUACGGACUUGCCAUUUGCUCUUGUGCUUUGCAACUUUGGGUUGGAAGACAUCUGAUCCAUAAACGAAAAGCUGAUGGUGGUGAAGUUGUGGUAGCUUUAUUCUCUGUAAUUCUGAGCGGCCUUGGUUUGAAUCAAGCAGCUACAAACUUCUAUUCAUUUGAGCAAGGACGCAUUGCUGCUUAUAGACUAUAUGAGAUGAUUAGUCGUUCAACUUCCAGUGCCAAUCAAGAAGGGAUCACCUUACCCCAAGUGCAGGGGAAUAUUGAAUUUAGAAAUGUGUAUUUUAGCUACCUGUCUCGUCCAGAAAUUCCAAUAUUAAGUGGAUUCUUCCUCACUGUACCAGCGAGAAAAACUGUUGCACUUGUUGGUAGAAAUGGCUCAGGGAAAAGCAGUAUAAUUCCUCUGAUGGAGAGAUUCUAUGACCCAACAUUAGGUGAAGUUCUUUUAGAUGGCGAAAACAUAAAAAAUUUGAAAGUAGAAUGGUUAAGAAGCCAAAUUGGUCUGGUGACACAAGUACCAGCUUUAUUGAGUUUAAGCAUUCGGGAAAAUAUUGCUUAUGGAAGAUCUGCUACCUUUGAUCAGAUAGAAGAGGCAGCAAAGACAGCCCAUGCCCAUGGGUUCAUCAGUUCACUUGAAAAGGGGUAUGAAACCCAGGUUGGUCGAGCUGGUAUAGCACUCACUGAUGAACAAAAGAUCAAAAUUUCAAUUGCCCGUGCUGUGCUUUCGAAUCCAUCCAUUCUGUUGCUUGAUGAGGUCACGGGAGGACUUGAUUUUGAAGCUGAAAAGGCUGUCCAAGAAGCAUUAGAUGUUCUCAUGUUGGGAAGAUCAACCAUUAUAAUUGCUAGACGUCUUAGCCUCAUUAAAAAUGCUGAUUACAUAGCUGUAAUGGAGGAGGGUCAUCUUGUUGAAAUGGGUACACAUGAUGAACUAGUGAACUUAGAUGGCCUUUAUGCCGAGCUUUUAAGGUGUGAGGAAGCAACAAAACUUCCCAAAAGGAUGCCUACCAAGAAUAGCAGGGAGCGUAAGUCACUCCAAAUUGAGGACGCAUCAGUGAGCCAAUACUUUCAAGAAUCCUCCUCUCCUAAGAUGACAAAAUCACCUUCACUUCAAAGAACACAUGGCAUGCUUCAGUUUUGGCGAUCAGAUACCAACAGAAAUUCUCAUGAUUCACCAAAGGACCGAAGUCCACCUUCAGAACAAACUGUGGACAAUGGGAUCCCUAUGGUUGCAAUUGAAGCUGAAAGAGUGCCAUCCAUCAAGAGACAGGAUAGUUUUGAAAUGAAACUGCCUGAUCUUCCUAAAGUUGAUGUCCACCCUAUACAACGGCAGUCAUCUAAGAAUUCAGAACCUGACUCGCCCAUAUCUCCUCUUUUGACUUCUGAUCCUAAGAAUGAGCGUUCACAUUCGCAAACUUUUAGCAGACCACAGAGUGAACGAGAUGAUGCGAGUUCUGAACACAGUGAACUGGAUGAGGUUCAGCACCAGAAACCUCCAUCCUUUUGGCGUCUUGCAUCACUUAGUAUUGCUGAAUGGCCUUAUGCACUUUUGGGUACAAUUGGUGCUGCUAUAUUUGGCUCGAUUAAUCCUCUGCUUGCUUACACAAUAGCACUUAUUGUGUCAGCAUACUAUCAUAUAGACACCAAUGAUAUGCGCCACGAAGUGAACAGGUGGUGUUUAUUCAUAGUCGGCAUGGGUGUUAUUACAGUGCUUGUCAACUGGUUGCAACAUUUCUAUUUUGGAAUAAUGGGGGAGAAGAUGACUGAGCGCAUAAGAAGGAUGAUGUUCUCUGCAAUGCUGCGCAAUGAAGUUGGAUGGUUUGACAAAGAGGAGAACAAUGCUGAUACACUGUCCAUGCGCCUGGCAAAUGAUGCUACAUUUGUCCGUGCUGCCUUCAGUAACCGACUUUCCAUCUUUAUACAAGACACUGCUGCAGUAUCUGUGGCUCUUCUUAUUGGAAUGUUGUUGGGAUGGCGGGUGGCACUUGUUGCGCUUGCAACUUUACCAGUUCUUGUUAUCUCUGCUAUUGCACAGAAAUUGUGGCUUGCUGGCUUCUCAAGAGGAAUCCAAGAGAUGCAUAGAAAGGCUUCGUUAGUACUUGAAGAUGCAGUACGGAACAUAUACACUGUAGUAGCAUUCUGUGCUGGGAACAAGAUAAUGGAACUCUACAUAUUACAUCUUGGCAAGAUACUGAAGCAAAGUCUUGUGCAAGGAUUGGCUAUAGGCUUCGGCUUUGGUCUCUCGCAGUUUCUUCUUUUUGCCUGCAACGCUCUACUUCUUUGGUACACUGCUAUUUCAGUUGACCAGCAACGUCUGACAAUAGCCACAGGACUGAAAGAGUAUAUUCUCUUUUCAUUUGCAUCAUUUGCAUUGGUGGAGCCUUUUGGACUUGCACCUUACAUACUUAAAAGGAGGAAAUCUCUUAUGUCAGUGUUUGAAAUUAUCGACCGUGAGCCAAAGAUUGAUCCUGAUGAUACCACUGGCUUGAAACCACCCAAUGUCUAUGGAAGUAUUGAAUUCAAGAAUGUUGAUUUCUCUUAUCCUGCUCGCCCUGAAAUUCUUGUGCUGAGCAAUUUUAAUCUUAAAGUUAGUGGUGGGCAAACAGUUGCAGUAGUAGGGGUUUCUGGAUCAGGGAAAAGCACUAUUAUUUCUUUGAUCGAGAGAUUCUAUGACCCGGUUUCUGGCCAAGUUCUACUGGAUGGUCGAGAUCUGAAGUCAUUUAACCUGAGAUGGUUGCGAAGCCACAUGGGCCUGAUUCAGCAAGAGCCAGUUAUUUUCUCGACGACAAUAAGAGAAAACAUUAUUUAUGCAAGGCACAAUGCAACAGAGGCUGAGAUGAAGGAAGCUGCAAGGAUAGCAAAUGCUCAUCAUUUCAUUAGCAGCUUGCCACACGGCUAUGACACUCAUGUGGGGAUGAGAGGGGUUGAUCUAACACCUGGUCAAAAGCAACGGAUUGCCAUUGCUAGGGUGGUUUUGAAGAAUGCACCGAUAUUGUUGUUGGAUGAGGCCAGCUCUGCUAUCGAGUCUGAAUCAAGUAGAGUGGUACAGGAAGCUCUCGACACUCUGGUCAUGGGUAACAAGACAACGAUUCUCAUUGCGCACAGGGCAGCAAUGAUGAAGCAUGUGGACAACAUUGUUGUCCUAAAUGGUGGUAGGAUAGUUGAGCAGGGUACACAUGACUCUCUGAUGGACCAGAAUGGUCUAUAUGUUAGAUUGAUGCAACCCCAUUUUGGCAAGGGCCUUCGCCAGCAUCGGCUAAUGUAAUUAUGGUUGAGCUUGUUAGGUGUAAAUUAUCCUAGGCCAUGAUCAGGUUCCGUUUUGCUCUAUGUCCAGCCAUCCAGGGCCCCUUUCUGGCAGAUGAAAAAUGCUGGAAGUGUCCGCUUGUUGGCGCUGUUCUGAGUGGAAGGGUGACCUGAUCUUGACAAAAUUUUAGCUUGAAGAUUCAGGUUACGUUCUUGCUGGGUAUAAACUCUUGCAGCCGUGAUCAAAAGCCUGUGGCUGGGUAAAUUCGGCACGAAUUGUUGAUGCCAUAGGGCUGUUUAGAUGUUAGGAGUAUAGGACAGUCGAUCGUUGAAUUUUUGAUGAAAUUUCGAACUAAAUCAUUUAUCCAAGGUUCCUGUGUCACUUGGCACGGGCGAAUCGUCAGCCUACCGAAUUUGUGCCCAACAGUGGCAUGAGUAGCUGCAGCACCUCAGGCCACCGAACUUGUAAGCAACAGCGGCAUGAGCAGUUUUUUCGUGUUCUCUGUUUCGAAUUUAAAAUUAUCUGUAUCUUGGGAUUUGUGUUCAA